UUGUUCCUCUUGUGUUGGAAAGGACUGGAAGGUGCUUUCCGUUACUAAGAUCUCAAGCCCAGCCCUGUGUAGAUAAGGGAGAAGUUCUAAUUCUUCCAAGCACCUCAUAAGAAUGCUUUGCCUCUGCCAUUAAGUUGACUUCAAAGUUCUGCCUGGAGAAAUUCGUCUUUGGCAUCUCCUCGUACCAGUUCAGACCUGAGCUUUUGACCUAUUUUUUUGGAAGUCAUGUGUGCUGGUAAACACGGAUUUCAGAGUCAAACUAGAGAAGAAGCAAAUCUCAGCUGUGCUCUAGAAAGAUCUCUCUGAGAGCAACACUCAGGAGGACUGGUGGGAAAGUAAGUGACCCGGGCAGUCGCAGUCAGCAGGGUGAGAAAAGACGAGAGCCUGAGAGAAGCGUGGAGAUGGACAGGAAGGCUCGACACAAGGAUCACUAAAUAAGUGGGUCCAACAGACUGCAGUGACUUGUCAGCUGUGGCCACAGGGGGAGGCAAGGAACCUACGGUGGUGACUCCAUUUUCCAUCCUGGGCAAAUGGGGACUGGGUUGAAUGUUACCUGAUAUUCUGUAAACUAAAAACAAAAUAAAACUGCAUGUUCACUGUGCCUGCAGUUCUACGAUAUCAGUGUGUCCCAUGUGACGAAGAC